GAUGAACGCUGGCGGCGUGCCUAACACAUGCAAGUCGAACGAGGUCCAUCCUUCGGGAGAAGACCUAGUGGCGAACGGGUGAGUAACACGUGAGGAACCUGCCCCGAAGACCGGGAUAACCCUCCGAAAGGAGAGCUAAUACCGGAUACCCCCACCGAACCGCAUGGUUUGGUGAGGAAAUGGAUUCCGCUUCGGGAGGGCCUCGCGGCCUAUCAGCUAGUUGGUGGGGUAACGGCCCACCAAGGCAUCGACGGGUAGCUGGUCUGAGAGGACGAUCAGCCACACUGGGACUGAGACACGGCCCAGACUCCUACGGGAGGCAGCAGUGGGGAAUCUUGCGCAAUGGGCGAAAGCCUGACGCAGCAACGCCGCGUGGGGGAUGAAGGCUCUCGGGUUGUAAACCCCUUUCAGCAGGGACGAAUCAAGACGGUACCUGCAGAAGAAGCCCCGGCUAACUACGUGCCAGCAGCCGCGGUAAU
rnacentral:rRNA from 1 species